CGCAAACCCUCGCUGUGUGUUACAAGUGUCACACGGAACUGCCGGUCAUAAACCGGAGGAAGGUGGGGAUGACGUCAAGUCAGCAUGGCCUUUAUAUCCUGGGCUACACACACGCUACAAUGGGAAGGGACAAUAAGUUGCGAAGCCGCGAGGCGGAGCCAAUCCAGCAAAACUUCCCUCAGUUCAGAUUGCAGGCUGCAACUCGCCUGCAUGAAGUUGGAGUUGCUAGUAAACGCAGGUCAGCCAUACUGCGUUGAAUACGUUCCCGGGGCUU
rnacentral:rRNA from 1 species